GGGGGCAUGGUGUAGUGGUAUCACGUUCGCUUUGCAUGCGAAAGGCCAGGGGUUCGAACCCCCUUACCUCCA